rnacentral:misc_RNA from 1 species
CCAAACUUGGUCAUUUAGAGGAAGUAAAAGUCGUAACAAGGUUUCCGUAGGUGAACCUGCGGAAGGAUCAUUACUGAGUUUAUAAAGGGGGGAGGGUCUACCUUCUCCCUUUUUCUCUCCACCCUUUGUUAUUAUUUGUACAAGUUGCUUUGGCGGUUGGUUUUGUUAUCUACCGUCAAGUGGCUUUUUCAAACACUUUGUUAUCCAACAGUUAAGAUAUCUUUUGUCUAAUUCUUUACGACUUGAAUAAGUAUGUAAAACUUUCAACAACGGAUCUCUUGGUUCUGGCAUCGAUGAAGAACGCAGC